UACAGAGGGGGCAAGCGUUGUUCGGAAUUACUGGGCGUAAAGGGCGCGUAGGCGGCCUGCUAAGUCGAACGUGAAAUCCCCGGGCUCAACCCGGGAACUGCAUUUGUGACUGCAUGGCUAGAGUACGGCAGAGGGGGAUGGAAUUCCGCGUGUAGCAGUGAAAUGCGUAGAUAUGCGGAGGAACACCGAUGGCGAAGGCAAUCCCCUGGGCCUGUACUGACGCUCAUGCACGAAAGCGUGGGGAGCAAACAGG
rnacentral:rRNA from 1 species